rnacentral:rRNA from 1 species
UACGUAGGGGGCUAGCGUUGUCCGGAAUCAUUGGGCGUAAAGAGCGUGUAGGCGGCCUGGUAAGUCCGCUGUAAAAGUCAAAGGCCCAACCUUUGAAUGUCAGUGGAUACUGCCGGGCUAGAGUCCGGAAGAGGCGAGUGGAACUCCUGGUGUAGCGGUGGAAUGCGCAGAUAUCAGGAAGAACACCAACGGCGAAGGCAGCUCGCUAGGACGGUACUGACGCUGAGACGCGAAAGCGUGGGGAGCGAACAGG